rfam:Pseudomonas sp. ABAC61 scaffold1681_001, whole genome shotgun sequence.
ACCCCGGUAUUAUUGCUGUUAUGGGUUUGAUCCGAGCUUAGCCUUGUUCAUUUUUUUACACAACCCCCCCGUAAAAGAUAUGACACGGCCCGCUCAAGCGUGGGGUGGCCGUGGCUUCCGAGGCCCGAAAAGCGCCCUGUUUUGCCGCAAAAUCGCCCUGCCAGCCCUUUAUUAGGGCAU